CCCUGAAACCUUUGUCUUUAUGUGAGAGCAGGAGGGAGAAGAGGCCCCUGGAAGUCAGCGUGUGUAUGUGUGCAUCCCUCUUCUUUGCUUUGAAAAGCCUGCACCAAGAUCUUCCUAUUCCGAGAAAGCUGGUUUUGUAGAAGAAGAGAGAUAUUGAUGCAGUGGCUGCUUGCAUUUGUCCUGCCAGGCUUCGCUUGCUGCAAUGGAAUCAUUAUACAUCUCAUUAAAUAGUCAAGUAAUACAUUCCGGAAAAUUGCCACUAGACUCCAUGUCCCAGAGAUUGAGUGAAUUGAAGUUGUUUCACCGCCUCCCUGGUGUGUAGGUUGGAAGAAAACCUGUCUGCCAAAAGGAGGCUGAAUCACAAGUAGUACCAGGCAGCCUGCAACAGACCUUUAAAAACGAGACGUCUUGUACCAUUUGCCAAAGAGUGGGGAAAGCGUGAAGAUGACUGAGAUGAUUCAAAGCCCUUUUAAAAGCCCUCACAUGCCUCAUCAUGUUCAGUUUCACAGAGAGUAAUUUACUCCCACCACAACAUUUUGCUACAUUUGGAUGAAAACCUGCAAACUGGUGUUAAGUUAGUGUAGUA
rnacentral:lncRNA from 1 species